AUGUUAAUCUUAAUACAAAGGCGUCCGAUUACUACUACUAAUACGGUACGUAUUCCCCCCAAAAGGGAGAAAAUUCCUCGCCGAUUUUUCCCUUUACUCCAAGUCUUCCACACAGCGGACAAAGUCAAAUAUGAGAAACCCCACCGAUUUGUCCCAAUUGGAAACUCUUUCUUCCUAAUUUCCUCGCCGGUGUCUUUCCUCUUCGUUUUCCCCCAAUGCCUUUUGUUUUUUGGUGAUUGUUCAUUGAUUCUUUUUCACCAUCUCUCUUCCUUGGCUGCGGAAAUUUGGUUUAGAAUAUUCAACCGGAGUAGGCUGGUUUCUUCUGAGUACCAUCGGUUGUUCCCCAAUUGCUUUGAUCUGCAACCGAUAAUUUACUUGCAAUUUGUUUGGUUUCUGGAAAAAUUCGCGAAAAUCAAUUGCAAUUUUGUCGUUUGAAGAUCCAGAAUGAUGGAUAUCAGAUACUUCGAAACGAAAGGUGGAUAGAGAGGGAGUGAGUGAGUGUUUGUUUAGUCUUCAUUUCUAGGAGUUGCUUUGCUUCUGUGUGCUGUUGAAUUUGCUGGGAAUCUUCCAUCCUUCAAAUGGAUCUGAGUCAUGGCACAAUUCAUUAUUGUUCUGUUUCAAGGGGGGAACGUAUGCUCUAUGUGUAUAGUAAUGGUGAUGAGGAGAUUGAGAACUUAGCUGAUUUAUGCUUGAAAAGUGCCCCUCCAUAUCACAAGUGGUAUUUUGAAACAUUGGGUAAAAAGACUUUUGGGUUUUUGAUGAAAGAAGGAUCUGUUUAUUUUGCAAUUGCUGAUGAAGUUAUUGGUAAUCAACCUCUUCUCCAGUUUCUAGAGCAGUUGAGAGAUGAAUUCAAAAGGGUAGCAAAAAAGGGUUCACGAGGGAGUUUCUCAAGUAUGAACUCCAUUAGUUUGCAAGAACAGCUAGUGCCUGUAAUUUCUAAGUUAAUCACCUCAUUGGAGAAUGUCUCCCACAAUAGUAAGGAUUGGAUGGCUGAAACCCCAUCCUCCAACAAUGGUUUGUCUCCAUCUCCAAGCAACGUUAACGGGCAAGUGGAUGUUUUGGCUUCCACAAAAGCCCCUUUGCUCGGGAAGUCAAACAAACCAGAGAAGAAAAAGGGAAAGGACCAUGUGAUAACAAUGAGAGGAAUUGAAAUGGAGGAGCAUAGAAAAUCAACGGACAGAGGUUUGAAGAUUGAUUCAGUCUCUUUGGAAUCCAGUAAUCAGGGCGGAUCAGGGUCUGCAAUUCCAGUGCAAAAAGAUAGCAAUCCAUUGAGGAGAUCGAACUCUCAAAGCAUCCGGAGAAGGUGGUGGCGUCAUGUGAGGAUCGCACUUGCUGUUGAUGCUGUUGUAUGUUUGAUAUUGUUUGUUAUCUGGUUGAUUGUCUGCAAUGGAGUUUCUUGUGUCCGCUGAGAGUUUUAUGUAUUUGUACAUGGAACUUGAAAGAUGAAAUAGGGGAGAUUAGAUCGAGGGAGAUAUGUUAAAUGAGGCGAACGUGUAUCUGAAGGGCCUUGAUUGAGUUACACUUCUGAAAAUUGCAGAAUAAAAAAUGUUGUAUGUAUAUGCAGACGAAUUGUUAAUAGUGUGAUGUGUACUUGUGAACAUUUCAAUGAUUGAAUGAAAUAUCUAAAGAUAUCCAAAGGUACAUGAGGAGCCCAAUCGAUGGGUAUACAAAAGGAACCCAACCAGAGGGUCCACAAAAAAAGGUGUUUCCAAUUUGCAAUAAGGGAAUGUGAAUCGUGACUAUGUAUAGCUGGGUAUGUCUUUGCUCCAAGAAAGGAACACUAUGAAUGAUAGGCCGAUUAUGUCCUUUGUUGUCUUGUUCUUAUCUCGGAAGAUUCUAUCAUUCCUUUCAUCCCAUGUCUUCCAUAGAACAGCACAAAUAAUACGAAGCCAUAGACGUUCUUGGUCAGCUUUGAUGCCUCAUUAGGGCAAGCAACAAUGCUUUUUGUCCAGAUCCCUCUAGAUGUGGGAUAAUCAAAGAAGACACAUUGGAUAGUUGUGUUGUUGGAAUGGCAAAGGCUGCACCAAGAAGGAGAUAGGUUGAUCCAUGGGCAACUUCUCUAUAAGCUGUCCAUUGUGUUUGAGACAUGAAUUUGAGAUUUUCCAAAUGAGAAGUUUCACUCUUUCUGGACAGAAGAGACUCUGAAGUUUGUGGUACCUAAAAGCCGUGGAUGGGUGUGCGUUGGGUGGAGGAGACGAAAGUGUAAAGAAUUUGUAUUGAAGCGAUAAGAGAAUCAAAGCUUGUGUGUUCAUUUUGAAAGGUGUGAUUGUUUUCAGCUCAAAGAUUUGUGUAGACUAUGAUCUUGUUUGGGAAAACAUCAUUUUCAAAAACAUGAUUGUAUUUUAGCCUUUUCAUUUU